CCUACCCCGGGACCCCGGCUCCCCACGCCCGCCGGUCCCACCUCCCGGCCCUAGGGGGCGCUGCAGCGGGGGGGUGGGGAGCAGGCCUCUCCGGCCUGGGGUGCAGCUGUGUCCUGGGGCCCGCGGAGCGCAGGAGGGGUAAAGUCCUGGGGCGCUCAGGCCACAGCUUCAAACUAGGCGGGACGUCGCGGCUCUCACGUCUUCCAAGGCCCCUGUCAAUCUUCCCCUGGCCCCAAGAAUGUGAAAAAUGUUCACAAUGGCCGCAUGCAUGCCCCUUGCCCGAGAGCAUCAGCUGCUGGUGCCCACGUAUCGGAGAGAAAAGGUCAUCCCGAAACAAUCGUUGCGGGGGCCCGGCGGCUCAAACCCGAACUUUUCCCUCCCGGCCCGCGCCUCCCUCCACAAUACCGAAGACCCUUUGUGCCCGGGCCCGGGUUCUCCCGGCCCCACGGCGCCGGAGCCCACCCCUUCCUCGACGCCCCGGGCCCUCCGCGGCGACCCAGCCGAAGUGGGGAGGGGAGCGUGGGUUGGGAUUCGCGGCCCGGGAAAUUGUGCUCGAGACCUUGAACGGGAGAAAGUUGUUCCCAGUUCACCUACGCUUGGGGGUGGGGGAGAGGCUGGAGAGGGCCAGACGGUCCCCCUUGGGUCCCAGAAAUGCUGAGCCCGGGGCAGGGGCCCCUAGCUGGGUCCUCCCCGUUCCGGGGCGAGGUGGACCAGCCCCUUUUCCUAAUGCGCCCCCCAAAAUGGGGGAAAGGGCCCCACCAAGAGCCAACGGAGAGGUGCUGGGUCCCGAGCAACGAAUGCGGCUGACCGAGAGCACCCGCAGGGCUGGGCCUGCGCCGGGAAGGGCCCCGACAGGACCAAGGCAGCAGCGCUUCUCCGGAAGUGCCCUGUUCCGCUCUCGGACAAGGGGGCCCUUGGGCGGCUCGGCCCAGGCGGGGUCCGCUCCCUCCUCCGGUGCUCCGGGGCUGCUGUGGGGCGCCACCCAGCCGGAAAUGUCGAGGGGGGAGGACGAGGGGCUGAUUUCUUCGCUUGGUUUCGCGCCCGGCGUUGCCUCGUGGGUCGGAGCAGAUGUAGCUACAGAAGGGACAACGCGUUUUCGUGAAAUCUAUCCCCUGCAACAUAUUAAAUCUUCUGGUCAGAAGAGAAGGAGAAAUUCAAAGGCAGUUUACAGGGAGGAGACAGAAAACACGCUGGAGACAAAUGCGAUCCGUGCAGGUGUUGGAGCAGCUUGCGUUAUAAUUGUAUCUAGCGAAAAGGUUGCCUUUAUUAUCCGUAAUGAUGGAACAAAAGUCACCAUAAUUAAACGUCUGGUUCUCUCCGAUGACUGAGAGGUGCGUGUCUGAAAGGCGCCG
rnacentral:lncRNA from 1 species